UCGGGAACUGAGGCUAAACCGCGAUAGAUCAAGAUAUCUGGAAUGGUUUUUGAUCNAAAUCUAUAUGGCCUUUGGAUUGGACUGCGUCCGAUCAGGCUGUUGGUGAGGUAAUGGCCCACCAAACCUGUAACCGGUACGGGCUCUGAGUGGAGGAGCCCGGAGAUGGGUACUGAGACAAGGACCCAGGCCCUAUGGGGCGCAGCAGGCGCGAAACCUCUGCAAUAGGCGAAAGCCUGACAGGGUUACUCUGAGUGACUUUCGCUAAGAAAGUCUUUUGACACCUCUAAAAAUGGUGUAGAAUAAGGGGUGGGCAAGUCUGGUGUCAGCCGCCGCGGUAAUACCAGCACCCCGAGUGGUCGGGACGAUUAUUGGGCCUAAAGCAUCCGUAGCCGGUUUUACAAGUCCUCCGUUAAAUCCAGCUGCUUAACAGAUGGGCUGCGGAGGAUACUAUAAGACUAGGAGGCAGGAGAGGCAAGCGGUACUCAGUGGGUAGGGGUAAAAUCCGUUGAUCCAUUGAAGACCACCAGUGGCGAAGGCGGCUUGCCAGAAUGCGCUCGACGGUGAGGGAUGAAAGCUGGGGGAGCAAACCGGAUUAGAUACCCGGGUAGUCCCAGCUGUAAACGAUGCAGACUCGGUGAUGGACUAGCUUUAUGCUAGUCCAGUGCCGCA
rnacentral:rRNA from 1 species